rnacentral:rRNA from 1 species
UAGAGUUUGAUCAUGGCUCAGGAUGAACGCUAGCGACAGGCUUAACACAUGCAAGUCGAGGGGCAGCGGGGGUGAUGGCUUGCCAUCGCCUGCCGGCGACCGGCGCACGGGUGAGUAACACGUAUGCAACCUGCCCGCCACAGGGGGAUAAGCGGAAGAAAUUCCGUCUAAUACCGCGUGACGCGGCACCGGGGCAUCCCGGUGCCGCCAAAGGGAUUACCGGUGGCGGAUGGGCAUGCGGCGCAUUAGCUAGUCGGCGGGGUAACGGCCCACCGAGGCGACGAUGCGUAGGGGUUCUGAGAGGAAGGUCCCCCACACUGGUACUGAGACACGGACCAGACUCCUACGGGAGGCAGCAGUGAGGAAUAUUGGUCAAUGGGCGCGAGCCUGAACCAGCCAAGUCGCGUGAGGGAUGACGGUCCUACGGAUUGUAAACCUCUUUUGCCGGGGAGCAAGCGUGCGUUCGUGAACGCGCGUCGAGAGUACCCGGAGAAAAAGCAUCGGCUAACUCCGUGCCAGCAGCCGCGGUAAUACGGAGGAUGCGAGCGUUAUCCGGAUUUAUUGGGUUUAAAGGGUGCGUAGGCGGGAUGCCAAGUCAGCGGUAAAAAAGCGGUGCUCAACGCCGUCGAGCCGUUGAAACUGGCGUUCUUGAGUGGGCGAGAAGUAUGCGGAAUGCGUGGUGUAGCGGUGAAAUGCAUAGAUAUCACGCAGAACUCC